CUUCUUGACCUGGAGCUGGGGGGAUGUGGGCUUGGUAGUGCCAGGGGUCACCAAGGAGGGGCUUGCCUGAGAGUGAGCCAAGCCAGAGAGGAAGGCCAAGAGCUGGAAAGAGUUCUGACAAUAGCAAUUUGGCCCCUGGAGCCAGCCACACCUGCAAGCUCACUCUGUCUGUGGACUGUACCAUUAGUUUCUGAGCCAGUUUGAGUUUCAGUCACUUUCAACCAAGAGUCUUGACCAAUCUAGUAAGUCAAGGAGCUGUGUAUGGAAGAAGAGGAAGCGAAGAGUUUAAAGCAGGUUGAUAAAAAUCUCAAACCUAAGCCUAAGCAUAUGGCUUAGCCUUUAUUCUGUAGAGAGCAGGGAGCCAUCCAGGCAUUCAGAGGAGGGGAUUAUUGGGAGUAAUGAUUUAGGGAAUCAGUCUGGCAAGAAUGUCCAGGAUGGAGUGCCCUGCAGCAAACCCCAAGAACCCAGGAGAGAAGGGGGAAUUUGAAACAGGGAAAGUAGCAAAGGGAAGUCCCAAGACAAGCAACCAAACCAGAUCAGACCAGGAGGGGAGAGUCAAUUUUUUUUUUAAAAAGUGACAAAUUAUUGAAAACAUUUGAAUUAUUGGAAAAUAAAUACAUGCCUAACAUUUGUAAUGGACUAUUUGGAAAAAAUCAGAGAUACCUACACAGAAAACUAGGCAAACAAAAACUGAGAUUAUUGU
rnacentral:lncRNA from 10 species